AGAUGGAUUGGUGCCUUCGGGAACUCUGAGACAGGUGCUGCAUGGCUGUCGUCAGCUCGUGUUGUGAAAUGUUGGGUUAAGUCCCGCAACGAGCGCAACCCUUAUCCUUGUUUGCCAGCGAGUAAUGUCGGGAACUCCAGGGAGACUGCCGGUGAUAAACCGGAGGAAGGUGGGGACGACGUCAAGUCAUCAUGGCCCUUACGAGUAGGGCUACACACGUGCUACAAUGGCGCAUACAGAGGGCGGCCAACUUGCGAAAGUGAGCGAAUCCCAAAAAGUGCGUCGUAGUCCGGAUUGGAGUCUGCAACUCGACUCCAUGAAGUCGGAAUCGCUAGUAAUCGUGGAUCAGAAUGCCACGGUGAAUACGUUCCCGGGCCUUGUACACACCGCCCGUCACACCAUGGGAGUGGGCUGCAAAAGAAGUAGGUAGUUUAACCUUCGGGGGGACGCUUACCACUUUGUGGUUCAUGACUGGGGUGAAGUCGUAACAAGGUAGCGCUAGGGGAACCUGGCGCUGGAUCACCUCCUUAUGCGAUGAU
rnacentral:rRNA from 1 species